ACUAUGAUUCGUUUCUUUCAUCUCCUCCUCGCCCAACUACCCGUCUCUCCCCCUCCGCCUCUCCAACCUCCUCCUUCCCUUCUCUGCCCUCUCGUGGUUCUUCGAUUUGAUCGCGAUCUGUGCGGUCGAGAGAUCUUUGGCUUGGUAUGGUGCGUGAGAUGAAUGGAGGGGUGGGGGACGUCGGGGGAGAGGAUUGGACGGAGGAGGAGAGCGUCAAUGGCGGGAACGACGUUUGGAGCUCGUCCCGCCCCGCGGACCACCUUGUGGUGAUGGUUCAUGGCAUCCUCGGGAGCACUGCUGACUGGAAGUUUGCAGCCCAGCAAUUUGUUGCAAUGCUUCCAGAUAAAGUGAUAGUUCAUUGCAGUGAAAGCAACAUGUAUAAGCUAACAUUAGAUGGUGUUGAUAUUAUGGGUGAACGAUUAGCAGAAGAGAUUAUUGAAGUGGUCAACAAAAGGCUGUAUCUUCGAAAAAUUUCAUUUAUUGCACACUCGGUUGGAGGAUUGGUUGCAAGAUAUGCAAUUGGGAGACUGUAUAGACCCCUCAUAAUGAAAUCCCUAGAAAAUCCUCUCUGUGAUGCCUGUGAUGAUAGUCACAGAGGUACUAUCUAUGGUCUGGAAGCAGUCAAUUUCAUCACAGUUGCUACACCCCAUCUUGGUUCUAGAGGAAACAAACAGGUCCCAUUUCUUUUCGGUGUCACUGCCAUUGAAAAAGUUGCUUCUCUUGUCAUUCACUGGAUAUUUAGAAGAACGGGCAAACAUCUUUUCCUAACAGACGAUGAUGAAGGAAAGCCUCCAUUAUUGCAACGAAUGGUGGAUGAUUGUGAUGACCUUCAGUUUAUGUCUUCCCUGCAAGCAUUCAAACGCCGAGUGGCCUAUUCCAAUGUUGGUUAUGAUCACAUAGUCGGCUGGAGGACGUCAUCUAUCAGGCGUAACUCUCAACUGCCUAAGUGGGAGGAUUCGCUGAGUGAGAAAUACCCACAUGUUGUAUAUGAAGAAUACUCAGCAGGAAGCAGAAAUGAUAAGUGCACAGAUGAUUCACUUAUUAAUGGUGACUGUGAUCUAUUAGAAGAAAAGCUAGUAACAGGCCUCGCACAUUUGUCUUGGGAAAAAGUCGAUGUCAGUUUUCACAACAGCAGCAUCCAUAGGUUUGCUGCACAUAGUGUCAUUCAGGUUAAGGAUCCAUUCAUGCAUAUAGAAGGUGCAGACGUUAUACAACAUAUGAUCGAUCACUUUCUUACUUGAGGAAACUAAAGAAAUUUUGGGUUGAAAUGAUGAUUGUGCUCCUGUAUGCAAGUUCUUCAUCGGAAGAGUACAUAGCUACUCAGAUGCCAGAUGGAAAAUAAGAUAUUCUGCUCUUGUCCACCAUUUUCGAUAUGGGAUGAUGUCAAGACAAAACCUUAAAAAUGAUACAUGAUGUCAUGGCAAGAAAAAAAAGAAUCAUCUGCAUCUUCUUAUAUUUGAGUAAAGAUGCAAGGUUGAGAGGUAUUAUAAGAGUUAUUUAAAAUUCACAUCAUAUAUUUUGUCGUGGUAAUAUUUUGUAAGGUUUCCUUUUAUAAAUGUUAUAUAGGCAUCAAAAUUUGCAUUAUUAA